UGGUGGAGUGAUUUGUCUGGUUUAUUCCGAUAACGAGCGAGACUCUAGCCUACUAAAUAGUUACUGGAUAAAAAGUCCAGCAUACUUCUUAGAGGGACAAGCGGUGUUCAGCCGCACGAAGUUGAGCAAUAACA
rnacentral:rRNA from 1 species